GACGAACGCUGGCGGCGUGCUUAACACAUGCAAGUCGAACGGAAAGGCCCUGCUUUUGUGGGGUGCUCGAGUGGCGAACGGGGGAGUAACACGUGAGUAACCUGCCCUUGACUUUGGGAUAACUUCAGGAAACUGGGGCUAAUACCGGAUAGGAGCUCCUGCUGCAUGGUGGGGGUUGGAAAGUUUCGGCUGUUGGGGAUGGAUUGGCGGCUUAUCCGCUUGUUGGUGGGGUAGUGGCUUACCAAGGCUAUGACGGGUAGCCGGCGUGAGGGGGGGGCCGGCGUCAUGGGGACUGAGAGACGGACCAGAAUCGUAUGGGACGCAGCGGUGGAGAAUAUUACAGAGUGGGCGGAAGUCUGAGGCAGCAGCGCCGCGAGCGGGAUGACGGCCUUCGGGUUGUAAACCGCUUUCGACUGUGACGAAGCGGUAGUGACGGUAAUGGGUAAAAAAGCACCGGCUAACUACGUG
rnacentral:rRNA from 1 species